GUACCCGCUGAACUUAAGCAUAUCAAUAAGCGGAGGAAAAGAAACCAACAGGGAUUGCCCUAGUAACGGCGAGUGAAGCGGCAACAGCUCAAAUUUGAAAUCUGGUCCUUUCAGGUCCCGAGUUGUAAUUUGUAGAGGGUGCUUCGGCUUACGUCUCGGUCUAAGUUCCUUGGAACAGGACGUCACAGAGGGUGAGAAUCCCGUACGUGGCCGCGACUUCCGCCAUGUGAAGCCCCUUCGACGAGUCGAGUUGUUUGGGAAUGCAGCUCUAAAUGGGAGGUAAAUUUCUUCUAAAGCUAAAUACCGGCCAGAGACCGAUAGCGCACAAGUAGAGUGAUCGAAAGAUGAAAAGCACUUUGGAAAGAGAGUUAAAAAGUACGUGAAAUUGUUGAAAGGGAAGCGCUUGCGACCAGACUUGCCCGCGGUUGUUCCACCGGUCCUUCGGCCGGUGUACUCCUCCGCGGUCAGGCCAGCAUCAGUUUGGGCGGUUGGACAAAGGCCUUGGGAAUGUGGCUCCUCUCGGGGAGUGUUAUAGCCCUCGGCACAAUACAGCCUGUCCGGACUGAGGACCGCGCUUCGGCUAGGAUGCUGGCGUAAUGGUCGUAAGCGGCCCGUCUUGAAACACGGACCAAGGAGUCUAACAUCUAUGCGAGUGUUUGGGUGUCAAACCCGUGCGCGAAAUGAAAGUGAACGGAGGUGGGAGCUUCGGCGCACCAUCGACCGAUCCUGAUGUCUUCGGAUGGAUUUGAGUAAGAGCAUAGCUGUUGGGACCCGAAAGAUGGUGAACUAUGCCUGAAUAGGGUGAAGUCAGAGGAAACUCUGAUGGAGGCUCGCAGCGGUUCUGACGUGCAAAUCGAUCGUCAAAUUUGGGUAUAGGGGCGAAAGACUAAUCGAACCAUCUAGUAGCUGGUUCCUGCCGAAGUUUCCCUCAGGAUAGCAGUGACGUUUUCAGUUUUAUGAGUUAGAGCGAAUGAUUAGAGGACUGGGGGCGAAAUUCGCCUUCACCUAUUCUCAAACUUCGAAUAUGUAAGAAGUCCUUGUUACUUAGUUGAACGUGGACAUUUGAAUGUAUCGUCACUAGUGGGCCAUUUUUGGUAAGCAGAACUGGCG
rnacentral:rRNA from 1 species